rnacentral:misc_RNA from 1 species
UUUCCGUAGGUGAACCUGCGGAAGGAUCAUUACCGAGUGAGGGUCUUUCAGGCCCGAUCUCCCACCCUGUGUUUUUGUGACCUUGUUGCUCUGGCGGGUCCUCCUCGAGGAGAGGCCGCCGGAAGCUCACCGCUGUUGGCCCGUGUCCGCCAGUAGCCCCCUUAAAUUUUUAAUAAACCUCUCGAUCGAGACUUUAUAUAAUAAAAAAAACUUUCAACAACGGAUCACUUGGUUCUG